GGGGUUGUGGCUCAGCGGUAGAGCACUCACCUAGUGUGUGUGAGGUCCUGGGUUCUAUCCUCAGCACCACUU
rnacentral:tRNA from 1 species